rnacentral:tRNA from 1 species
UAUAUAUAAAAGUGUUAGAUGCACGUUAGUUUUUGAUACUAAAUGCGAUAGUUUGAUUCUAUCUUAUGUAA